ACAAAACCCACGCUGAGCCCCAUUGCCCCGGCCAGGUACACCGGCACUAGAACCAGCAGCCGCCGCCCGAACGAGCUCAGCACCGCCAAGGCCUCGCCCGCCGCUCCUGGGCCGGCAGAGACGAAGGUGGAGUCAAAAGCUCGGAACCCCGCCCCCUUCCGCGAGGAGGGGCAAAGGGCUCGGGAGAAGCAGGACCUUGCUGAUUGGACCUGAGUGCCAAGAUGGGCGGCCCGGGAUGGCGGGAAAAGGAGAUCAGACCCUCCUACUGAAGACAGUAUGUGGAAGACAAAAGCUCAUCCUCAGGAAGGUCUCUUCGCAACUGGCACCCAGGAACCACAGAAUCAGCAGCUGCAAUGCAGGCACCAGAAGGAGUAAACAGGGUGAGAAAGAGGAAAGCAGUUUCUGACAUCUGGGGAAUGGCCUGACACAGCUGGCCUUUGGAAUUAUUAGGGGGCUGACCUGGGUUCAC